UUCUAAUAUAUUCAAUAUUUUGAAGAGAUUCAAUAGCUUGUCAUAAAAUGCUAUCCAUGUGGUGCCCACCUUUAAGAGUUUUGCAGCAGUUGCACGGAAGCAAUAUUAUUAUAUAUGAAGUCUCCUGGUGUAUUCCUUUUUGUGGGUUUUUUACUUUAGAUAGUGUAAGUUUAAUAUCGUAGGGGUGAGGUAUUUGUGAGAGAAAAUACCAAUUAUUGCUAUAACUAUCAAUCAGUAGAUCAGACAGGAAAGGUUCCUGUCAUCUGAAUGUGGUCAAGGGUUCUCCUGAGGCCAUAGUUCAGCACUGCCUGGUUACCUAUCCUGAAACCUUCUCCAUAAUCUGGCGAUGUAUCUGACUCGAUCUGGUGUUUGAAAAACUCACCAAGUUUCUUCUCAAAGUCAGAUCGCGGCCCUUUCUUUGAUGAUGUGGAAGAAGAUGAUGACGGUGAUGAGGAUGAGGAUGACGACGAAGCACCUUCACCUCCCGAACUAGAAUAUAUCUCAGAAUCUAGCCACAUAUGAGCCAGGACCUGGCAUAUGCCUUCUUCGACCUCUGGACGUAGGUUGGGAUAACCUGUCAAAGACAACAUUUGUACUUCUUAGCUGACCAUAUGAAAGUAAAUAAAUGAAAACGAAGGAAAUACUUGACAAGAUCAUGUAUGUCAUAGGAUGGGCAAACCUUUAAGUCGAAGCCAAGCAUGCAUCAUCUCAUGAGCCAAAAUUGAACCCGUCAACAACCUGUAUGUAUGGAAUGUAAAGGAUGCAUACUUGAAAAUUCUCAAAUAUCAUGAAUGAUGAUGAAUUUGAUGAGUGAUCAACACAAAUAGAUGAUAAUACCUGGGAAGGCCAUACAGAAUGAGAAUUGCAGUUACUUCACACCUACGACUUAGCCUAUAAGGUUCUAUUCUUAUGUCUAUGAAACGGUUUCCUGCCCCAAUCCUUGGCCACCUCAAAACCUGGUAAUUGGGGUCAAAUAAAUAUACAAUUUCAAUCUAUAAACAGACACCUUUAAGAAACCAAACACUAGCUUAUGUAUGACUUGUGACGAGAAAUUACAGUGGGAACAGUUUGUUUUUCCGACAAGCAGAGUCCUCUGGUUUCAGGUAAGUGAUGAUGACCCUGACCAAGAAAAUGUAAAAAUUGAAAAUAAAACCAUAAAAAAAUAUAACAAAACAAAAGGCUUACUUAUUGAUGGUCUCGAUGCAUCAUCCUUACAUUCUUUUCUCCUUCCAUAGCCUCAUUCAGGGCUGGUCUCUCAACCAAAAGUAAGGGUAUUUCCUGCUCGACCUUCAUAUUUAAACCUUCAUAAAAUUUUCGAAUUUCAAAGUAAAGAGGUUGGCAUUCAUGAGUAUCCAUUAUUGCAGAGUCUAGACACUCUAGACAUAGCUUCCUGCCAUCAUCAAGCGAUACAUAUCUAGUGUCCCUAGGCUGCAUGGCAUGGGAAAAAAAUAUUAUUAUAAAAUUCAAACCAUUUUUCAGAAAACUACAAUUUACAUUUUCUUUCUAAGCUUCUUUAUCCCCCUCCCUUCACUUUGGUUUUGGACAGCAGAAAGGUUGAUUCAAAUUCUUUCAACUGACCUCCAUUCUCUCACAACUACAGCAACGAGGAGUCCUAUCACGCUGAUGUGAGGGACAGUAUUUUUGUAGCAAGAAAGGAUGAGCCCUAAACUCAAUGAGCCCUGCUGAAUUUGUAGGAAUCUGUACAAAAGGGAAUGGGAAGAAAGAUGUUAAGGUCACCAUGAAUCAAGGAAAUAUGAUGGAAUAGUAGUUAAUUAACUCUUUUUUUUUUUUUUUUGGCUGAGUGUAGAUCUAUGAUUAAAAUUAGAGAAAAACUCAUAUUGUAAAUCCCAUUAUCCCAGAAAUGUUCGAAUAAAAAAAUAUGCUGUAGCCAGCUGCUUUAGCAGACAGCAAAAUGUAUCACAAUGCCACAUGGCAAAUCCAAGGUUAAAUGACACUACCACAAGGUUGGUCAAUGACACAACAUGCCAAGGCAUCUGUCAGCCUAUGAGCUUUAUAACCUAACACAAAAUGCGCUCAUAAAUAAUACGACAGGCAAAUUGAGUUUUAAUGGCAGCUGGAGAAUACUAAACCACAAAAUGACUAGGAUAUUACUAUCAAUGUUCAUUACCUGGGAAAAGAAAUAUGUGCAUCUAGCACACCAACCCAGAUUAUUGAAGUCGAGAUGAUUUUUGUUCCAUCUCAAAAUAAGCAAAACAAUAAGGCAUAAAUUGACCCCUUAAAAUUUGUUCACUUGUUCUUUAUACAUUACAGACCCAAAUUCAACCGUACCUCUAUUCUUUUUUUCAACAAAAAUAUCUGGUAUCAGGCUAUUUCUUCACUAGAUGAGGUGCACAAAUAAUAGGUGAUUACUCAGUUUGAAAACGUACGUAGCAAAAGAAAGAAUAUCAGAGAUAAUUCCAGUGACUCUCUAAUCAUCAUUUAUUUAUUUUGGAUAUACUACUAGCACAUCCAAUAGUUGAGCGAAAGGAUUGCUGAAUUUAGCAGCAUCAGCUCAAUUUUGACAAAAAGGGCACCCUUCAACAACUUUACCAACAAAAGCUGAUUCUUCUUUGGCAAACAAGAUGGGUGCAAUGAGAGUUUAUGAAGUUAGUCCGGUUAGAUUGCAACCGUAAUCUGGUUUGCAAUGGCUUAGCUUCAUUGUUCAUCUACUCAACAAAGCCCUCAUCCAAUCAAAUGUAUUCAAGCACAAUACUAAACCAGCAGAAGGUAUUGUUGUGUUUCUGUCAUAUAAAAACUUACAAAUUUGUUGCAGACAUCGCAUCUUGGAUGAUCCUGCUUCCUAUAACAAGAUUCGUGAUACCGACGAUUCCCAGACAUUGAAAACUAUUACAAGAAUGAAUUUGAGGGUUAGUAAACAUACACCAAUCUCUUGAUACUCAACCAAAAUAAAAGACAUUAGUUAAGAACUCAUGAUCACUGCCAUCAAUUCCAGACAAAAGUAUCAAUUCACUAGAAUAAGAUUCAGAUUUAAACCUCAUAAUCAGUAAUUGGCAGAUUGCAAGCAUUGCAACAAAAACAAUCAGGAUGCCAAACACCACCCAUGCAAUUCAAAAACUGUCCAUGCCCAAUCUCAGUGUUGCACCCAGCACAGAUCCUAUGAGCAAUAAAUUUUCAACAAUCAGAUCAGAUUUUCCAUGUGGUGUCUCUGAACUGUGAUAUGCAGAAACAAUUUUAAAGAACAGGCAAGAGACAUCGUAUCUGAAAGAUAUCAACAUGCAAUUCCAUGUUCCAAGAAUAUAAAGCACCCCCAAUGUUUUCUUAACUAAUUUCAUUUUGUCUCUUUGAUAGAAAGAUGCAAGCUCAAAAGUCUGGCUAACAUAAUAGAGACAACAUAAUAUUCUACAAGUUGAUCCUGUAAAUUAAUGGUGUGUUUCAUCUCAUGUCACUGCACUUCGGUUACCAUGACAACAAAACAAUCACUUUACUAAAAGGAUCUUUUAAGAGAAGGAAUAAAUAUUUAUCCUUUUGAAAUCUGAUUGGAAUGCAUGUUACAUUAUUUGAAUGCAGAAAAAUGGCUGUUCCACACAACCACAGUUACCUGUAACCAGAUGAAAAUGGAUAAGGUGGAACUAGAUUUCCACCGUCAUAUCGAGCUCGAGGAGGAGACUCCAAACUUAAACUUUCUUGACUUGCUUUGGCAAGUUGCUCAUCUUCUUCCAAUUGAGCUGUCACAUCCUCCUCUGGCUGGUGGGGCUUGUAAUAUUCCUCUGACUGUUCAGACUCAUUAUCUUCCUCUGGUUGAAAUAAAGUUUUUUACUUGAUAAUUAAAGAAUGAACUGGAUAACAGCAUGGGUGCAUAACUGACACAAUCUAUCAUCAGUAUAUACAUAAGAAAGGAUCAAUAUUUCUGUCCUAGCUGACUAUGAAUUUUAUGAAUGAAACCAGUCACGGUUAUUUAAGAUGACAAGGACUAUAUUAUCAUUUUUAUGAAACCUUUAAAGUGAUUUGUUGUCUGCGAUGAAAUCUUUUUAUUUGUGUAAACUGUAGGCGUAAUUGACCAAAACAUCAUCAUAUGAAUAGUUGUCAAAUUCAGCUUAUAUUGCCUUGUAUAGAAAUAAAAUAUGGUAUGCAAAAGAACCUAAUUAAACUAUAACCAUUUUGUUUCUCUUCAUUUUGGUACUUCUAUCUGAUAUUGUUGAAGAUUCUGAAGUAAUUAAGACAGAUUUGAAGCUGAUUUGUAGGGAGUAAAAAUAGAAAGUCAGAUAUCUUUUCCUAUAAAUCAGAACCUAGCAAUAAUACCUAUUUAUGUGUAGUUAAUAGUUGUCCUAAUAUAGAUAUGUAGAUACUGUAUAUAUUCAAGAAUUCUUUAUGAAAUAAAUUGAGAAGUCAGAAUUUAACAACUCUCCAUAGAUAUCUUGUACAAAGCUCUGCUUGAAACAUUGGGUCAGCAGUCAUGUUGCACAGUUAAUAUAAGUUUUCAAAUAAAAAAUGGGAGUAACAACCUAAUCAAUUCUAACAGUUUUGCAACUCACCAAUUACUUUUUUUCCUUUUUGAUCUUCUUCGGAAAGGGAAAGUGCAAUAGCAUAUUCGAUUUCUUCAUUGUCAAAAUUCAAUAAAUCAUCCUGCCUCGAGUUGUCCAUGACAUACAGUUAGCUCAGGAAAAAAAAUUAGAACAAACUUUUAAGAGAAAAGUGCCAGUAUAUAGUUUUGCAAGAAGAUUACAACAUCCCAUCUUUUCACACAACAUUUAUACAGCCAACCAGCUCCAGCCAGAAAGACUAGGCUAGCAUCAUACCAUGGACAAGCAUAAGCAAAGGAGAACAGUUAUAAAAGUACAAAGACUGUGAUUACCACUGAUUGGCGAGGCUCAUCCCAAUACCUAUCUUCUCCAUGUCUCCCAGGAUAGUGCCCUCUACUGCUAGAACCUUCGAGAACAUUGGUCCACCAAUCCAUAGUACAAUAGGUUUUUCGGUAGCAGGCUGGUGAAUUUUGGUCUUUUGAAUAAUUCAUGAGCGCCACAAAGAAUUUGAGAUAAGAAAGGAAAUGAGGUAAGUAUUUAAAUCAUUACUUACGACAAACUCAUUCAUUAUUCAAUAUACAAUUAUUACAAGUUCUUAGAACAAUUGGUUGAAAAUGAAUAUAUCAAUCAAAGAGAUGAAUGAAUGAAUAUUAUUUAACAGGGUAAAUAAAAGGCUUGUAAUGAGCAGGCGUCUGAAAUGGUAGUAGCAACUUGGAGCAUACUUCACAGAUGCCUUCGAAUUUCAAAAUUCAGAGGCAGCAAUUCAACCGAGCAUGGAAGGCAUCAAGCUAAAGAGGAACUAUAAUUAAGCUCACCAAAUGAUUAAAAAGAUAUCAAAUAGAUCAAGGAAACGAAAAGGACCUCAAUCCAAUCAUGAGAAAUGGGAAUUCAUGACAAUAAAUAGGUAAUGCAGUAUCACUCUCCAUGAUUACAAAUUUUAGCCAAAUUCAUAUAUGAUGUAAUCAUUCGUCCCUCAUAUCUCACCCCAACGCGCCCAGCAUCAAUACUAUCAACAGAAAAAAGAAAUUUCAAUUCUUCAUGGAUAAAGAUCUCCAACCUCAUCUUGCAAUCAUACAGAGAUUACAUGGCACAGCUGUCUAUGCUAUGUUAAAACAGUAAAACAUAAGUUUCAGACAGAACUUCACCUGAAACAAAUUAAGAAUCUGGAGAAACAAUAGAAUCUGAUGAAUCCAAGAUCAGUUACAGAAACCAAUUCCCAUGAAUAAUCAUCGAAAAAGGAAUCACAUGACACUAAAAGCCAUACUUUCCAUCAUCUCUUCAACAGCAACCAAUCCUGCAAAAACAAAAAACACGUCAGACUUUUCACUUUGACAAAACAAAAGUAGUUUUGCAAUAGUGAAGAUAAUAACAUUUCACAGAAAGAGCGAAAAUAGAAAGAGAGAGACCCAAAAAAAGAAAAGUACUUGAAUUGAAUCCUACUCAAAUCCAGGCUGAAGGGGGAGCAAAAAAUGCCAAUAGAGUGAGCUUUUUCGGAAUUUUUGAUCAUAUACUAUAGUUAUAUGCUGUCUAACCUUCCUUGAAACUCGCAAUUUUUAUAUGCGCUGAGAGAGAGAGGAAAUCAAAUCGAAGGGCCGGGUGGGGUGGUAUAGUCCGUAGAAUUAUUAACGACAACAAUUUCUACUUUUGCAAGUGGGUCCUAUAGCCAUUUUCCACCACAAUUCACAAAAUGUCAAAGAACCCAUAUAUCUUUCUUGUUGAAAAAUUGACAUGGGACAAGAGAGAGAGACAUAGACAGAGACAGAGAAGGUGGUUCUGGUAAUUGUUGAUCUUCGCUCUGCAUGGACUUGUGAGUACUGUAGAAGAAGCGAAUAGGGUGGUGGUGUGUGUACUUGUAUACCAAAAUAUUUUUGUCAGUGAUGAGUCAAGGUCAUGGUUGGUGCUCUUAACCUAAAUAAAUUCAUCUCCAAUGUAAAAUAUUAAAUUGAAAAGUUAAAUUGAUAAAAUAAUUUUUUAAUUAUAUACAUUAAAAUGAUAAAAAACUAUUUAAAAAAAUUAAUUAUAUUUUAAUAUAUUUCAUGUUAAAUUAAUUUUAAUAGAAUUAUAUAAUUAAUUUAGAUAUUUUAUAUUUAAUAUAAUUAUGAUGUUAUUAAUUAUAUAAGUAAUUUAUAAAAGUAAUAUAAAAUUAUUGAAGUAAUAUUAAAGUUAAAAGAUAUAAUUUAAAAUUAAACUUAAAAUUAAUUUAUAUGAAUAUUUUUAAUUUUCAGUUUUACAUGUUACGGUUAAAAAUUUAAUUUUUAAAAAGUAAAUUCAAAUUCAAACUUUGAAAAAAAACCGUCAAUAUUUUAAAUUUUGAUUUUCAAAUUUUUUUUAAAAAAAUUCAUGCUUUGAAAAAAUAACCGCAACCAUUUUAAAUUUUAAAAUUUCAAAUUUUAAAAAAAUAACCGCCAACAUUUUAAACUUUAAAAUUUUAAAUUUUAAAAAAAUAACUGUCAACAUUUUAAGAUUUCAAAAUUUGAAAAAAUAAUCUAUCUAUAAAUAUUCUCAUAUACCUUAACAUUUUUUCUCAUCAUUCCAUUUUUUUCUCUCCAAUCAAAAAUAUAUUUCAUUAAAAUUCAUCAUGAAUCAUUCUAAUUUUAAUUUUUAUGAUUCUUUUGAUUUUGAUGAUGACACUCUUGUGUUCGCUUUUCAAGUUGCUAUCGUUGUGGUUGCUGAAGAAGAAUCGAAUAAUCAAGGGCGGAGAACAAGGUAUCGUGGCUCUAUUCUUGGUCACAAUAUUGUCAAUCGUAAUAGAAAGGAAGGUGAAUUAAGGUUAUAUAAUGAUUAUUUUGCUGAAAAUCCUAAAUUCACUGAAACUCAAUUUCGAAGAAGAUUUAGGAUGAGUCGUCGUCUUUUUCUUCGGAUCGCAAAUGCAGUGGAAGCUCAUAAUUCAUAUUUCAAACAAAGGACAGAUGCUCUUGGUGUUCUUGGUUUAUCUUGCCUUCAAAAGGUAACUGCAGCUCAUAGAAUACUUGCAUAUGGUAUUCCUACAGAUCUUACUGAUGAAUAUUUUCAAAUUGAAGAAAGUACUGCGAUAGAAAGUCUUAGAGCUUUCGUCAAAGCAAUCGUAGAAGUUUUUGGUGAUUGGUAUAUAAGGGCACCAAACGAGGCCGAUAUUUGUCGAUUAUUAUCAAUUAGAGAGCAGCGUGGAUUUCUAGGGAUGUUAGGGAGCAUUGACUGUAUGCAUUGGAAAUGGGAGAAAUGCCCAAUUGCAUGGCAUGGGAUGUAUACUGGUCAUUGUUGGGAACCAACUAUAAUUCUAGAGGCGGUGGCUUCACAAGAUCUUUGGAUAUGACAUGUCUUUUUUGGAAUGCCUGGAUCAUUAAAUAAUAUUAAUGUUCUUGAUCAGUCACCUAUCUUCGCUGCACUUGCUAAAGGUCGUACUGCUCCUGUCAAUUAUACAAUUAAUGGGCAUGAAUAUACAAUGGGAUACUAUUUAGCAGGCGUGAUUUAUCUUAAUUGAUCAACUUUUGUUAAGACAAUCCCAAGGCUAUUAGGAGCAAAGAGAAAAUAUUUUGCAAGUAAGCAAGAGUCUGCAAGAAAGGAUGUGGAGCCGGCAUUUGGGGUGCUCCAAUCUCGUUUUGCAAUUGUACGUGGACCUGUUCGAUACUGGGAUGAAGAAAUGCUUGCAAAUAUUAUAAAAGCUUGCAUAAUAAUGCAUAAUAUGAUUAUUGAGGAUGAAGAAGCAAUGAACAUUGGAUUUGACCAUAAACGUGAAGUCCAUUCCUUUAUAUCAGUGUCACAUGGUGAAAUACCAGAACUAUAUAAUUUUCUUCAAACUCAUAAUCGAAUCAGGGAUACAGCAACUAGCUUUCAACUACAAGAAAAUUGGUUGAACAUUUAUGGGAACAAUAUGGUGACGAGUAGAAUUAUUAGCUUUGAACUUCUUAUGUCAUCAUAAUUUUCAAGUUUUUUAUGUUUUUUUUUCCAUUAUGGUUGUUAUCUUUUAAGUUAAUUAAUCCUACUUAUUAUUGUUAAGUGUUAGAAGAACUUCAAAAAAGUAUUAUGAAUUGAUACCACUUUUAUAACAAUAUAUUUAAAAUAACCAAGAAAUUUCUAAAUAUUUAAUUAAAAAUACAUUACAUUAAACAAUAAAUAAAUCUAGUUAAUUAAAAAUUAAAACCCCUCUUUUGCAUAAUUUCUAACUUUUUAUUUUGAAAAUACGCUGCAGAAAUUGAAACCAAAUUAGAAAUAUCAAUUUUCAUAAUUUGUUCUUCUUUCUCAAUCCUGUCCAAUUCUUGUUUCUCUUAACUUUGUUGAAUCAUCAUAGCUUGUUGCUCUAACAUAUUUUUUUUGUCUUGUUUCUUCUAAUCCUCAAUUUCAACUAUAGUAUCCCUGAAUUGUUGUAAGAGAUUUGUUACAGUUGUCUCCCCAACUUUAUCUUUUCCUUGUUUAUGUUUAAGUCGUUCAUUUGCAACCUUCUGACCAAUUGAUCUAUCUUGAUAAAUCAACGAUUCACUGUCUUCUUCUAAACUACAAAAUCAGGGGUAGAUGGAGCUGAUGAAAUUGAACUUGCAUUGACAUGACUUUUUUGUUUCUUGUUUGACCUUUGAUGUUGACUUGCACGCUCAAAUUGCCAUUUGGGUUCUUUUCUUAAGAUAACUCAACAAUGUUCUAGUUGAAAUCGUUUGCUAACGCAAGAAGCAUACAUUUGUCGAGCAUCAUUAAUCUGGUAAGUAAAAAAUUAGAGAAAUUAAAUAAUGUUAAAAUAUAUGUUAAACAAUUUAACAUGAAAAUGAAUAUUAAAAUUACCCUUGAUUCUUCAGUCAUUCCACUUUGCUGAUGAUUUUCAAUUUGAGUAACAAAUCCAACAAAUUUACCGAUUUCUCUAUUUAUUUCUUGCCAUCUACUUGAGAUGCUUAUUUGGGAACGAUUAUUCAAGUUUCCUCCAUUCUCUACAAAGUAAGCAUGUACUCGAGUCCAGAACUGUUUUGUUUGUUGUUCAACUCCUGUAAUUGGAUCUUUGCUUGUAUUUAGCCAUGUAGAGACAAGUAAAUAAUCUUCCUCUGGUGAGAAGUUUUUACUUCUUUGUGAUUUUUUUAUUGUAUGGACAUUUAAAUUCGAGUAUGUUAAGUCAUCAAUUAAUUGAUUAGAAUCACUUGGUUGAAAGAGAAUAUCUUCUGACUUACUCAUAAGAAAGUUGGUGAAAUAGCUUGGAAAAUUUGAAUCCACCUACAUUAAAAAAAAAAAAAAAAACUCAAGUUAAAACCUUAUAAAAGAGUGUAAAAGAAGCGCACAUUCAAUGUCUAGCAAUUUUGUAGUUUACAUACAUGUGAAUUAAUAAUAAGCAUUGCAUCCUAUUUGUUCUAACAGUACAAUUUGACUAUUUUUUUGAAACUAAAAGAGAAUUGAUAUACUGGUUUAAUUGUAUUUUCAACAAGACAAAAUAUAAUUAACCUCAAAUUAAAAUAGACAAUCAAAAAUAAAUUUUAAAUAUGUCACUCUAUAUUUUUAUCAAUAUCAGCUACCAUUAUUACUUCCUCUCAAUUUUGUCAAAGAUAACAACAUAAAUAAAAAAUUGUUUUCCUUAACCCAUAUCAAAAACAUAAAAUAACAAAGAAAUAAAAAUCAUCACAAAUAUCAAAUUAACAACAAAAGGUCUACAAAAUCAAGAGAUACUAAAGAGAAAAUAGAAAAAGCUUUUAAACAAACAUACCUUUUAAUUUCAGCUAAUUAACACAACCGAUGUUAUUAAUUAACCAGAGAAUAAUUGAUUCUUGUUUUUCUAAAUUUGAGAGAAGGGUGAGAUACAAUACAAGAUUUAAAAAAAAAAACAAGUUUCUUUCCUUCUACUUUUAAAGAAAAGAAAAAAUUGUUGACCAACGACUAUAAAAAUAGUCAUUGGCAACGAUAACUUUAUUUUAGCUAUUUCUACAUAAACAUGUAGAAAUAGCUUUUCACAUAUUGAAUAGCCAUUUUGGCUAUCCUUUUACCUACUGCGUUGAAGUUGUAAAAAAAAAAAUUUAGUACACGUUUUUAAAUUUAACUUUUCAUUUGGCUCUCUAGUUGGAGAUGCUCUAACUGUGAUACUAUUCUGUUUUUUUUUAAAAAAACCAUGGAUAUAUGUUAGUUUAUGUGUACUCGACUAAUUUUAUAGUUAUUAAUGUUAAUAAUUAUAUAAAUUUUCAAUAGUUAUGAGGUGUGUGAAAUGAUGACACUUCUCUAUAACAUUAAUAGCUUGCCUCAUAAAAUUUACCAGCCAUGUUUUUUUCAAAUUUUGCAAAUAUAUUUUUUAUGGGAGAUUGAUUUAUGUUUAGAUAUAUGUUGCUUAGAUUUAUUUUUUUUAUUAUUGAAUUUCACGACGAAAAAAAGUUGUUUGGGAAUGGCAACAAAAGGAGCUCCUGCAAAUUUAAAAUGUCUUAAACGUAUUUCAUUUGUAAUCUUUCUUGUCGGUUUUUAGUGUGUUUAGAAUGGUUUCUCAUCGGUUUUAGUCUGGUAGGAUUGUAUUAAUUUUUUAAAGUAUUUUUUUUAAAAAAAUAUAUAUAAAUAAUAUUUUUUUAUUUAAAAAAUGUAUUCUUAACGUAGCAUAUCAAAAAUAAUUUAUAAAUAUAAAAAUAGAAUUUAAAAAAAAUAAUUUAAAUUAUUAUUUUUUUACACGUGGCCAACCACAUUUCAAUACACUUUCUUGGUUGAAUGGCCAUUGAUAACGUUCACUUGGAUUAGACACCAAAUUGUUCUUUUCCUUGUUAUCACUAUCACUUCAAUUUGAUACUAAAUGCGCCAUUUGGGAACACUGCUCCAGAUAGAGUUCUAUAAAAAUUUAAUUUUUUUUAUUUUUUUUAUAUAUUAAUAUCAAAGAUAAUUUUAAAAAAAUAAAAAUUAUAUUUUAAUACAUCUUUAAGUAAUAGUUACUAUACUCACAAACACACCAAAAUCAUCGUGGUUGUUGGGUGUGAAUUUCAGUGACAUGGAUGCUCUCCGUUUCAAGUGAGAAGAAAGAGAGAAAGAAAUUGACAACGUGCCCCUAAUGUUUUUCCUGUUUUUUUCCCCUUCUUAUAUGAGAAUAGUAUGUUUAAAAUUACGUUAUGAAUGACUAUGCUAUUCUCAACUCAGUGCUGAUUUUGUUUUUUUAAUCCUUGAGCUAGCUUCAAACUCAGAUUCAUUACGUGAAACUGUUUGUUUUUUUUAAUGUUUUUAAAUUAUUUUAAUGCGCUGUUAUCAAAAAUAAUUUUAAAAAAUAAAAAAUAAAUAUUAUUUUAAUAUAUUUUUAAAUAAAAAUAUUUUAAAAAAUAACCACCGCUAUAUUAAAAUAAAAAAAACCCCACAACUCAAAAUAAUUCAGAGACAAACGGUCAAAAAUCACAGUUCAUCACCACUUUGUCCAGAUUCUUAAGGUGGCCAAACAUCAUUCGCAACGGAUAAUGAUUCGUGGAUGCGUCAAAGGAUUAGGAAAUAAAAGCGAGCACUCUCGGUAUGAUGGCACAGACGAAGUAACUUUAGUUGAUGGUUCAGGUUUGGAAAUUUCUCACACUAGUUCUGUCCUACCAUUUUUCAAUAUAUGAUUAAAAUUAUUCUCUAACACAUCCCCUUAAAUAAAAGUUCAUUGAAUUUGAAACUUGCACAGACUCAUACUAACUUGUGCUUAUUUUUUAUUAAAUAAAUAGGGGUGAUGAAAUUCAAACUCAUGACCGUUUAAUCAUCAAAACUCUAUAAUACCAUGUCAAAGAACCAAUUAUACCCAAUAAUUUAAGUUAUUAGAUGAGGUCUCAAGAUAUAAUUUAUAUUAUUCUCUAACAUGUGGUUUCAACUGCAUUCUCAAGCGCUAUAUUGGUCGCCAACCUCUCAAUCUCAUCCUUCAAGACUAUAUGGUCUUGCAUUCACAGGUCUGGCAUCUGAUAACAAAUGAAUUCCAUGAUCAUGUUUCCUAGCCAGAGGCAGCUGAGCAUGUUUAGCAAACACAUCAAUUUAUUUAGCUAACAAAGCACAAAUCUCAUGAUGAUGAUAGGCUUUGGUAACAGACUCCUCAUGGCUUGUGAUUAAGAAAAUUUGAGCUCAAAAUAUACAAAUCUUGUCUGUAAGGUUCUUGGAAACCUUAUCUACUGACAUCAUUAGUAAUUUCACCUCAUCAGAAAUGCCCUUCAACUCAAUCAUUCUUCCUUCUUUCUUAAAAGAAAGAUUCAUCUUAACAAAAUCAAACAAUAUCACCCCCACCCCCAUACCAGAAUCAACUGAGUCACCAUCUCACUAAACACAUCAUCUCCCUCUUCCCGAGCUUUCAUUGCAUUCAUCUCCCAUACCCGAAACAAACUUAUUCUUUCUAGCCAUGGAAAAAAUACUCUUCCUGCCAAUUAGCUUCAUCAAAGACUUGAUUUAAAGAAGUAGCUUUCAAGAUUUUAAGCUCUUUGAGUCCACUUAUAACUAGAGAUGAAAUAAGCCUUCGAUAAGUAAGGAUUAGCAUCAAAAUCAUUAAAGAUCAAGUUCUUCAAACUUUUUUAUAUAAACUUCAACAUCCUUCUCCUGUGCAAGUUUGUUAAAACUCCUCUGCCAUAUCAUUUCUGCUACCAAACCUUCUACAUAUCUCACUCACAAUCCCCUCCCAAUUUCCAACAUCACUCCCUACAACAAAUCCUUAAAACCAAAUUUCAGCCUUUCCUUCUAAAUACAUAGAAGCAAUCUCUACAUAUUAAUUAACAGAAAUAAAAUUCAUCUUCAAAUUUUUCUUGCACUUACAUAUCCACUCAAGGAUUUUCACCAUUAAAAAAUUGAUGAUUAAUCCUAGGUAUAGCAACAUUAUAAGCAGACCUGGUGGAUUCAGGUAACGACAAAGGAUUCUCACCAUCUGUUCAUGGUGUGGGAAUCAAGCCAUCGCCUGAAGAACGGGAUUUUGAUUCCUGAACUGGUUCCUGCUCUGCUCCCUAUGCUUUAAUCGUCAUCAUGAUUGAUUCAAAAUGCAACUGUCUGCUUCUUCAAUUCCUCCAUAGAUUCUUGCAGAUAUCAUAAUCUUUCAAAUGGAAAUCCAAAAUGUUUGGUUGUCUCCUUGAAGACAAAAGUUGUACAUUGAAAGCCUACCUUAUCAUAGUUGAAGGUCAUAAAACAAAGAGGUUUUUUUUUUUUUUAAUGACAGAGGAAUAAAGAUUUAAAAAAAUUCCCAUGUUCCUAAUAAAAUAAAAUAAAAAAUAGUAAAGAUUAAAAAAAAAUGUAUAAUAGAAGUUCCACAAUGACAACUAUAUGCGGAGAAGAAAAUAGAAACCCUUCCCUUAACAAAAUGGAAAUUUCACAAACCAACCAUUUAAUUCAGUUUCUUGUACAAAGUCCCGGACUGAGUCAUGUAACUAAUAUAAACAAGCUGCUUCAAAAUGAACAAUGGAUAGUAGGGAAAUGUUGUAAAGAAAGCAAAAAAAGGAGGUAUACACAUUCUAAUAUAUUCAAUAUUUUGAAGAGAUUCAAUAGCUUGUCAUAAAAUGCUAUCCAUGUGGUGCCCACCUUUAAGAGUUUUGCAGCAGUUGCACGGAAGCAAUAUUAUUAUAUAUGAAGUCUCCUGGUGUAUUCCUUUUUGUGGGUUUUUUACUUUAGAUAGUGUAAGUUUAAUAUCGUAGGGGUGAGGUAUUUGUGAGAGAAAAUACCAAUUAUUGCAACAACUAUCAAUCAGUAGAUCAGACAGGAAAGGUUCCUGUCAUCUGAAUGUGGUCAAGGGUUCUCCUGAGGCCAUAUUUCAGCACUGCCUGGUUACCUAUCCUGAAACCUUCUCCAUAAGCUGGCGAUGUAUCUGACUCGAUCUGGUGUUUGAAAAACUCACCAAGUUUCUUCUCAAAGUCAGAUCGCGGUCCUUUCUUCGAUGAUGUGGAAGAAGAUGAUGACGGUGAUGAGGAUGAGGAUGACGACGAAGCACCUUCACCUCCCGAACUAGAAUAUAUCUCAGAAUCUAGCCACAUAUGAGCCAGGACCU
rnacentral:lncRNA from 1 species